UCUCCGUAGGUGAACCUGCGGAGGGAUCAUUACCGAGCUCAUGCCCUUACGGGUAGAUCUCCCACCCUGUGUUAUUAUUACCUUUGUUGCUUUGGCGGGCCGCCAGGCUCCGGUCAGGCUAUCGGCUUCGGCUGGUAAGCGCCCGCCAGAGGACCCUAUAUCCUGAUUAUUAGUGUCGUCUGAGUACUAUAUAAUAGUUAAAGCUUUCAACAACGGAUCUCUUGGUUCUG
rnacentral:misc_RNA from 1 species